ensembl:lncRNA
AAUGGCUCCAGUUCCGAGGGCAGCAUGGCAGCACGGUGGCUGGCAUCCUUGGCUCCAUUUAUGAGCACCAUAAUCUUGAGAGAGUCGCUCGACCUCCCUGGGCUGCAGCUUCCUGUUCUGGAACAGCUGCUUUUUCUAGAAGUGGCCAAGCACAGGAUGGAUCCAGAAUUACGACGGAGAAGCCCCUGUGGGGGUCACUGGACCGGCUGACCAGCAAGGCACUCUCUAAGGUGGAGAUGGCAAGCACAUGAGGCAGGAGAGCCAAGGAUUUCUGUCAACUACGAAAGCUACCUCAGCAACGGAGAUGUCAACUCAGGAGCCAAACUGCCAUCUCUGUUUUAAUUGGAGCCUGCUCUGUGAAGCCCACGGAGUUCUGGAUGCUUCCGGGCCAGCUCAGCUCAAGGAAAGCCAGGGCACAGAUCUAUCUAAUAAAGGCUAAUCCCCU